UAUAUUAAAACAAAACACUUUGGUGCCACUUGGCAUUUGCUUAGGUUGCUUGAUGACACGUGGCAUCUCAUCCUCUCCUCUUUUUUUCCUUUGAGCGGCAAAUUAUUUCUUCCUUCCUACGCUCUUUUUGUUUUUGAAACCGCCAGAAUUUUGGAAACUAAUCAAUUCUCUCAAUCAAUUGAAAUCAUUAUCCACCCAAACCCUAAAUCAUUCUUUCAACGGUUUCUCUCUGGCUUCACUCUACAUCCUCUUCAAAUCAAACUUGGAUCCAUGGAUUAUUUUCAAUGAAGAAUCUAACUAAUGUUGUAAGUUAUUAUCAUUCAGAUGAAAUUCAUGGUUGAUAUAGAACUUUGGAUCCCAUAUGCUUUCUAUCCAUAUGUUGUUGUUGAGGAAGAUUCAGGCGCUGGUGUUAGAGGCAAGAGUAUGUUCAUAUCCAUAUACAGCAAAGAAAUGGUAGGAAAAGCUUAACAGUAGUUCAGGGUAUGAAAAAGGGAAAUCUUGGGGAAAGGGAGGUUCUUAAAUGCUUUAGGGUUGCCAAUAGCCUGGUGAAGAGUACCAUGUGUUAAGUCUCAUGCAUUAAACUCGAUGCAUUCGUGGAUUUUCUGGAUGUAGCAGAUUAUUGGUCUAUGCUCAG